rnacentral:rRNA from 1 species
AACGCUGGCGGCACGCUUAACACAUGCAAGUCGAACGGAGUUUAGAGAGCUUGCUUUUAAAACUUAGUGGCGGACGGGUGAGUAACACGUGAGCAAUCUGCCUUUCAGAGGGGGAUAGCAGUUGGAAACGACUGAUAAUACCGCAUAAUAUAGUAGGAUCGCAUGAUUUAACUAUCAAAGAUUUAUCGCUGAAAGAUGAGCUCGCGUCUGAUUAGAUAGUUGGUGAGGUAACGGCUCACCAAGUCGACGAUCAGUAGCCGGACUGAGAGGUUGAACGGCCACAUUGGGACUGAGACACGGCCCAGACUCCUACGGGAGGCAGCAGUGGGGAAUAUUGCACAAUGGGCGCAAGCCUGAAUGCAGCGAUGCCGCGUGAGGGAAGAAGGUUUUAGGAUUGUAAACCUCUGUCUUCAGGGACGAUAAUGACGGUACCUGAGGAGGAAGCUCCGGCUAACUACGUGCCAGCCGCCGC